rnacentral:miRNA from 1 species
UCCUCCGAGUCCCUAGUUGAGAACUUCUCUUGUGUGCUCACUGUGGGAGGCUGAGGCAGGAGGAU